rnacentral:lncRNA from 1 species
GGUGUGCCCACGUGCAAGAAUUCAGUGUCCACAUCGAAAAACUCCUCUGUGGAUCUUCUUGGAAGACUUGACAACAGUGAAUUUAAAAGGACAUCACUGAUUCUGAGUGAGAGACUGCACCCAACUUUCCCAUUUGAGUGAGUCAUGAAUAAGCAUCUGGAUUAGAUCAUCUACAAAGACUGUUCCAAACCAGCUUAUGUGCAUGAAUAUGAGAGAGUAGAGAAGAUACAAAUCAACUUACGUUAGGGUCAGAGACCAUGACGGACACUAAGAGCUUUUAAAGAAGACUCAUGCUAAGCAAGCACGGUCUGGGCUAUAAACCAUACAUUUGUGCCUGGGAAUCUCCCUACAUCAAAGGUUCUAGAACCUGCUUCAAAGGUGCAUCUUAAUAUAUUAAUUCAUUUGUAUCUUUGCUUUGGAUCAUAUUGAGCAUUAAGAUGAUUCAUUUUCUAGCUCUUUUUUUCUUAACACCUUGAAUGGCUCAACUACAUCUGCCAGUAUUAAUUUCAGCCUCGUUAAGUUCAGUAUGUGUGCUGUCCACAAACAGCUUCUCUACCAGGUCUCCUGUAGCCAGUUAAUGGUAAUGAGGCUCAUUGUUUCAAGUCCACAUUGGUGCAAGGCAAAUAUUCCUGAGCACAUGACCAUGUCUAGAGAUGUGGUCAUGUUGUACAGAAUGGCAUAGAACUUUCACAGUGACUCUGAGUAAAGAAAAUAUUACAAAACAGCUAUACACAUGAAACAAAUAGAAAGGCUUCUAUUUUUGUUGUCUAAAUGGCUAAACACUUAGAUGCUUGGAAUUUAGAAUUGUACAAAUUAAGCUCCUUAAAGAUAUUGGAUAGAUGCUUCUUCUCUUUUGUUAAUGAAAGUAAUUGGCUACGAGUUUAUUUCCAGUCAAAAGUGCACACUCCAGGGAUGAGCAUGGACUUCUCUGGACAGUCAGCACCUCUCUGAGGUUCUGUUUUGCAAUCUUUCUUUCUCUCUCAUUUUAUUACUCUUUCCCCAGCCUAAUUCUCUGGCCCUGCCUGUCUCUUUCAUGUGCACACACCUAAGAGAUGUUCAUGUAUAAGAGAAACAUUAUAAGAAUCAGUUGACUAUAGUGUGUGAUGGAGGCUGUUGGGUUCUUGCAAUGGCUGCCUUUGGCAAUAGCUGCCAUGUGGAGGGAUCCUAGCUCUCCAUUUUCACUGGAAACCCAGAUCCCCCAGAGUUGUGACUGCUCAUCAACCAUGGCAUCUCAGAGAUAUGGCAAAACCUUCCUUGGUCUGUAAAUAUUGGCCCUCUUUAGCUUUCUCCCUGAAUACCGAAUACUUAUGGUGUAUAUACUUUUUCCUUACAGUGAAAGAUCCCAUCAAAAUUUGCUCAAUUUCAGCUGAAUAUAAUAACCUUUCCUCCAUGUUUAUAUGUAUGUAAUAAUCCCACCUCCCUGUUCAACUGUAUACAAUAAAUAUUCUGAAAUUCCU